ensembl:lincRNA
GCCUCCUCUGCAAUAAGUUAAAAAGAAAAAAAACAAAAGUAAGAAACAAAUCUAUUUAGGUUGAGUGAAUAUUAACGAAAGACUAAAAAAUUAUUUAUGUACCCAACAGACAGACACCAUGCAGUUUUUGCACUUAAAAAAUCAAGGCCUUUAUUUGUUUACAUGGAAACUGGAAUUAAUACCUUUUAUAUCUUUGUACAUAAAAAUCAAGUAUUGUGGUUAACUGAACAGUGGUAACUGCUGGGCAAAUGGAUGCAAAGAUACAAAAGAAAGUAUUUUAAAAGGUCUUUUUCUCACUUGGGCAGAACUUCUCAGACUUUCCCACCAAUGUAUCACCAAGGCCCUUGAGAAGAUUUUAUUCACAGAGAGUUUGUUUCUACAUGAUUCCGGACAACUGUGUAUAUGCUUUGCUCAGUCAGAUCUAUGUGGAAAACUGUACCUCAAUUAAUGUGGAAGCCUUGUACACAAUUUUGGACUAGAUGCAGGCUAUUGUUAUGUAAUUUAUUUGGCACUGUGUGGAUCAUCAAAAUCCCAAAAGAAUUAUUUGAUGUAAAAGAUGGAAUAGACUCAAAUACAUGGCAUGAUGAAGAGGCCAAAAGAAUUCCCUUGCCCAUGCAUAUUAUGAAGUUCUGAAAUUGAAAUGACUAAAUUCCUCUGCAAAAAAUAAGGCAUUAAUAACACAGAACGCUUCGUGGGGGGAAAGUGUUUUAGGAUGAUUAAGGUAUAAAAAACUCUCGAUAAAGAAGAGCUUAUUUUGGAAGUGCAACUGAAUUAGAAGAAAAAAGGGAAUGGCAAGUAGUGUUUCUUAAUUUUUGACUAUUUGGAGAAAAUGGAAAAUACAAUAAAGAAUGCUUUGAGUCAGUGGCAGCUAAAAAAUUUUCUGUUUAAUUCUAAAAUGAGAGAACCUGGAUAGAGAUUGGACUGCUACAUAAAAUAUAAGAUGCCAAGUUAAAUUUGAACUUCAGGUAAACAGUAAAUAAUGUUUGAGUGUAAGUGAAUAAGUAUAACUAAGUUUAAGAAGUAUGAUAUUAAAACAUUAUUUGUUGCUUAUCUGAAAUUUAAAUUUAACCUGGGAAUCCCUUAAGUGGGUGGACAAAAAAUACUGUUUUUCUUUAGCUUUUAAUCUUUUUAAAAGUUUUAUUUGAGAGAGAGAGCAAGAGAGAGAGAGAGAUAGAGCCCAAGUUAGUGGGGGGCAGGGGGAGACAGGGGCAGAGAGACAGGGAGAAGCAGAAACCCUGCUGAGCAGGGACCUUGAGAUCAUGAUGUAAGCCAAAGGCAGAGGCUAAGCCAACUGAGCCACCCAGACACCCCUAAUUUUUAUUUUUGAAUAAUAUAUUCAUGUUUUAAACAUCAAAAUAAUUGAAGAGUGUACAAUGAAAAGUCUACUUCCCACACCUGUUUCCCAUCUGCCCAGUUGCCCCCACCUUCCACAGAUAUCUAUGGAUUUCAGUUUCUAGUAUAUCCCUGCACAGUUUCUUCUACAUGCUUCUAUAUUUUAUUAAGAAUAUAUCUAUGGGGCGCCUGGGUGGCUCAGUGGGUUAAGCCGCUGCCUUCGGCUCAGGUCAUGAUCUCAGGGUCCUGGGAUCGAGUCCCG